UAGGUAGAGUGUAAGGGUUAACCCACGAGUGGUAUAUGGAUAAAUUAGACACAGUCACAGAUCUGCAGGGAAAAAUAUAAUUAUAACCAUUGUGAAAGCAGGAUUAAUCAUCGAACUGAGCUAUCCAGUCAUAUUUCUUCUCCAAGGAGAUUUCAAACAGAAGAUGUAAAUUUUGGUAGUUACAUAAAAUGUCUCAGAUUUAAAUGAAAGACACAAAAAGCCACAUGUCAUCUGCUUUUCCUGAACAACGGUCUCUGCUGAAAUAUUGGUUCUGCCACCUACAAAGACAACUGAAGGCUGAGGAUGAAAAAUGCCUCCUGGAAGUCACUGAGUUUGUUAGGUAUAAAAGCCAAGACUUCAACUGAGGUCUUUGCACUGACGUGUACAUUAACCCCACACUGGGUAUCACUGUACUAUCACGUCCUGCAGGAGGAAGAUUACAGACGGCCAGUGUCUUCUCUGGUUUCUGGGUUGGUGACUUUGAACUUGCUACAGCUCCCACACCCGCAGCGAGCAGAGUUGCCAAGCAAGUGUGCCGGCUUCCAGAAGCCUGAGAUGCCCAUUGGUGCUUGGGAACCACCCGAGUUUCCCCAUCCUCUGUGCUGCUGCAGAUUGGUUGGGGCAGCCCGGGGAGGCUGGCUCCGACACAUGACUGAGCGUGCCUACACUGGUCCCACAGGUUUUCAGCUGUGGAGUUUGGGAUCUGAGCUUGGAGCCCAUUUGUUUCUGGCAGUUCGGUUCAUAUUUUCCACUUGAAGACAUCGCCUCCCUUCCUUCCAAGCUGGGAGACCAGAAGUCAACAACAGGAGGGUGGAGAGGCCGGAUCUCAUAAUCCGCUUGGCUGGGGAGUCCACUGAGGUUCUUGCAUCCUGAAGCAAACCAUGGAGAGCUGGUGGGGACUUCCCUGUCUUGCGUUCCUGUGUUUUCUAAUGCACACCCGAGGUCAAAGAGACUUUGAUUUGGCAGACGCCCUUGAUGACCCUGAAACGGAUUCUCACUAUGUUGCCCAGGCUGGUCUUGAACCCCCGGGCUCAAGCAAUCCUUCUACCUUGGUCUCUCAAAACACUGGGAUUACAGACGUGCCUUAACAUGCCUGGCCCAGUUUCUGCUUUUCUUACACUUCAGUUCAUAUCCUUCAUUGUCCCACACCCCGAUCCCAAUCCAUGGCUUCCAAUCUCCCCUCCCAGAACACACUUCAUUCCGUUCUCCCCUCAACUUCUCUGGUUACCUUCACUCGCGGGGCUGUGAGUUUUUCUUCUCCAGGGCACUGAGGACCUGGAAUCUUCCCAUUCUGUGUUUUCGUCAGUCCAAGUUCAGCUGGAACCUUUCUGGCUGACCAGAAUGCUGAAAAUAUGCGUCCUGGGCCCUGCAGAAAGUCCUGCUUGAGGCAGAUGGUCUAAUUGAGAUUCAGAUGUAUUCAGACCAUGGUGGGUGGGAGAAAGGGAAAGAUUUGGUUUCUAAUGCAGGCACAAUAGAACCAAACAUUUAUUUUGAAACAAAAAUAAACUUUUGUGUACACAGAGGAAUAAUCCAUUGGGCUUUAGCAUUGGGAACAACUGGUUGACCAGUGCAGUUACAUAAUGGUGUUUGUUGGAGGAAAAGAGAAUGAUAACCAGAUCUGAUCCUAAAAAGCCAACAACAAGAUAGUAGGAACUCAUCUGUCUCUCAGUUUUCUGCACACAGUGAUGUUUUUGCUAAUAAUUAUCCUACAAAGCAGAUACAAAAUUGUUGUCAGUGCAACAGGAAAAUGUAAUGACUCACCCCAACAUGGAGGUGCCAUUUCUCCCAUGAAGUUAAAAAAGGUGAAGGUUGAAUCCUGCCCUGUCAAGGCAGAUUGAGGGGUGGUGGUUGGAGGCAGGUGUGUGGUUGCAACCACUUUGGAAGCAUUGGGGGAUUCUCUCCAAAAUUCAGACUGAGUGUGUAGCACCAGCGUUUGGUUUGGAUAAAGAAUGAGGCAUAUCUGCAAGAGAACCCUGUGCAAUAGUGAAUGAGGGGCUGGCUGGUAGGCUCAGAUACAGAACAAGACAUGUUAUUGAUUUGAAAGAUCACUGACAUGUGACCCAGGAGUUCCACUUCUAGACAGAUACCCAAGAGAAUUGGGAGCCGGGACUCAAACAGUUAUUUGUGUACCCAUGUUUGCAGCAGCAAUAUUUACAAUAAGCCAAAGGUGGAAACAACCCAACUGUCCAUCAGGGGAUGAAUGAAUGAACAGAAUGUGGUCCCUCCAGGCAACAGAAUAUUAUUUGGCUGUAAAAAGGAAGGGGGUUCUGAUGCAUGCUACAUUAGCCUUGAAAAUGUGCUCAGUGAAAGAAGCCAGGCAGAAAAGGCCACAGGGUGUAGGAUCCCAUUAAUAUGAAAUGUCCAGAAUAGGCAAAUUCAGAGAGACAGAAAGUGGAUUAGCGAUUGUUGGGCUGGAAGAGGGGAGAAAAGGGAGGGACAGCUCAUGGUUGUGGGGUCUCCUUUUCGGGGGAUGAAACUGUUCUGGAACUAGAUACAGGUGGUGAUUGUACAAUAUUGUGAAUAUAUGAAACACCAUUGAAUUGUACUCCUUAAAAUGUCAAAUUUUAUGAUAUGUGAGUUUCACAUUGAUUUUUUAAAAAAAUCACAGAAAUAAACUUCCUUUCCACUCACCUGCUGCUACCUUUUCAUUGCUCACCUAGAGGACUGCCAGUGCCUGCAAACACAUCUUUGAAUGCAUCAUUUUGCUACCAAGAGCCCCCAGUGAAUGGGCAGGCAUGUGCCUGUUCAUACACAGCCCUGCCUUAUGGGAAGGAAGCCCCAGUGCACAGGAGCCACAGUCACCUGUAUGGUGACGGUGGGGAACUCUCUUUUCACUGUCUAUACUGCUUGGGCUUUAAGAAACUCUGUGAG